UCCUACGGGAGGCAGCAGUGGGGAAUAUUGCACAAUGGGGGAAACCCUGAUGCAGCGACGCCGCGUGAGUGAAGAAGUAUUUCGGUACGUAAAGCUCUAUCAGCAGGGAAGAAAAUGACGGUACCUGACUAAGAAGCCCCGGCUAACUCCGUGCCAGCAGCCGCGGUAAUACGGAGGAUGCGAGCGUUAUCCGGAUUUAUUGGGUUUAAAGGGUGCGCAGGCGGCCUGUUAAGUCAGCGGUAAAAGCCCGGGGCUCAACCCCGGCGAGCCGUUGAAACUGGCGGGCUGGGGGUGG
rnacentral:rRNA from 1 species